UUAUGUUUUUAAGUUUUAAAUAAUUAUAGGUUAAAUUUUAAUUGUUAUAAGUGUUUAAUUAUAAUUUUAAAUUUUGUUAAUCGAAUUAGAUUAGUACCUAAUUAGUCAAAAGUUAAAAGAGCAGAAGUAAAGUAGAAUUUAAACUGAAAGAAUAUUGGCAGAUUUUCUAAAUUAUCUUUGGAGGUUGAGUGAUAAUUGAGAACCCUCAUUAACUACUUUUUUAGUAGUCUCAUGUAUGAUCGUUUAUUAUAUGCUUAAGGCAUAUAAUUAAAAAUUUUUAUUUAUAAAAAUAGAUAUAUAUUUGGUUUAUAUAAAAGUAAUAUUUGACCUACAAUAAUUUGUAAUUGUGGAUCUACUUUUUAGCGGAGUAGUGAAAAUGUAAAAGACAGUAAAAAAAUUUUUAUGGUUUUUUGAAGA
rnacentral:rRNA from 1 species